CACACACACACACACACACACACACACACACACACACACACACACACACACACACACACACACACACACACACACACACACACACACACACACACACACACACACACACACACACACACACACACACCUUAUCAUCCCCACCCAGGGAACAAACAUGCUUGUUGUGCCUCUGUGUGCACGUGUUCUUGUGUACCCACCACGCCGGUGUAUAUAGUAAAUAGUCUUUUUUUUUUCUUAAAAAGAUUACAAAAAAAUGCAUAUCUCAAACUGAUUUCCACAGGCAUGUUCUUACAAACUCUCCACUUCAGUCUCCCUCCGUCCAUCUGUGUUUCUGUCUCUCACUCCCUUCUACGCCUUUCAUUCCCUCUGUGUCCCUCCCUCCCCCCCUCUCUCCCUCUCUCCCUCCCUCCCUCCCUCUCCCCCAGAAAUAAAUAGCUGGGGAAUGAGAUCGCCUCAGAGAAGUGUGAAGCAUUAGUCAAGUUCAGCAGCAGUAGUGCAGGCUGGGAUGUUUUGCCCAGUAAGACCCGUUAGGUCUACUGCUACUAUGAACAAUAAACGCAUAUAAAGGACCACCAUGUUCACCCCUUACUGGAACGGGACGACUGUAAUUGCCCGGCACACCGUACCUGUACAUGUUCAGAGAUUGGCUAAAUCUUACCAUCACCGCUGUUAACGCAGCGCUAAGAAGUUAAACACACGGUAGAAGAGACAUCCGAACUUGGGGGACUAAUCUGACAAGCCCGACUCAUUGGAGUCGACGCGUGAGUGAAACCGAUCGAGCGGCCAACCAGAGAUGAGUCACAACAAGCUAGGCGUUAUGCAAAUUAACCUGGUUCAGCCACUUCCCAGAGAAUGCCUGCAGGGCUAUGCUGUGGAACGUCUGGUUCACCCAGUGCCGCUGUGGGACGUGGAGGGGUGAUAUCGCCACCCACUGAACUGGUUGAGAUGGACUGCAGAGGAGCAGAGAGGGGAUUCACGCUAAACUUUUGCCAAUCCCAAGCUCCAGCCAAGAUGCCGUUCAGUGUUGCAUCGGUGAACCUCAAGGUCUCAGCACUUCCUGGGAGCACUUGGUGCCUCUUUCAAAUGAUUUGAAAUCACUUGCAAUCUAAAGAAAUAAAAGAUGGAUGAAGACUUUCUACACCUGAAAGAGGGAAAAAAAUAAAUAAAAUCCCCUAAUUUAUUGUAAUUUGUCUGGAUGUCAUUAGCGGUUUAAACAAGGAUUAUAUGUAGACAUAUGAUGGAUUCAUAUAGAUCAACCAGUAGGUCCUUGUAGCCAAAAAAACAACAACACUAAAUCUGUCUGAUUGUCCCCCAACACGUACUUUCAAGUAUUUCUGCUGUCGGCUUAAAUUUAUGGGAAGAAAACUGAUUUGAAAACGGCACAGGAAGCCACAGCAGAUAGCAUCCUGUUUGCGUCCUCCAGUCCCACCGCGUCAUCACUUCCCCUUCCUGGAACAUGGGCUCUGCACGCGCAAUCCCCCCACCCCCACCAUGUACAUAUUCUCAUCGAGGCUGGGGCCUUCCCCCUCUUCCCCUGGCUCCUCCCUCACCCAUGUGGGUCAUUCUGGGCUGAGAGCUAGCAUGUCAGGCUGCUCUGGAGGACAGGGUUUCCCAAGCCGCCUGGUCUGGUGGAGCCACUGACGCUUGGAGGGAAGGAAGGCGGAGCUUCACCCCAAAGGCCAAAAGACAGCUUCCGAUAGCGAAGAGAUAACCGCAAUUUGCAUGCGUUUCUGUGCAGACGCUUGUGGUGAGCAGGGAGCUGUUCGGCAUUCUUUUUCGGACGUCACAGUGCACGUGUCUUGCCAACCAUUGUUUGAAAAAGCAGUAGCAGCUCUUGAAGAGGAACAGGUGACAUAUCAUAUCCGGGAUGAGAGUUUUUGAAGUACUGAAUGUCAACUUUAUUUUUUUCUAUAUCUCCGUAGAACUCACUCUUAAGGAAACGAUUGACUCCAGCUUCUGUACAAGUUCUAGGACUAUUUUUUUUUAAGCUAUUGUAAAAGUUGUGCAAUCUUGCAAUAAAAUAAGUGCUUUUCCUUCCCUUUUGCACAAAGGUCAGUGUUCUCCGGCCAUCGAGUUCAAAGAGUCAUUUUUCAACCAAAAACGUCCUCCAUUAAAAUAUGGAUACAUUUGCCAUUGAUAAUCAUUUGUCGUAAUCAUAAUGCAGCACGAAGCAGCAGCUUGACUUGCAAGGGGUAAAAAUUAGUAAAUAAGAACUACUAAGGGCCAGUCUACCAGCAAUAACAACAUUGUUGAAACAGAUAUCCUUUUGUGUUUCCAUACUAGAGAGUCAAAUCUAUUUAUAACCGAGUCCUAAACACUAGUUCAUUAUAAGCUGGGGUUGGCUUUCUCCCCCCCCACAUAUGAGUCAUAAAAAUGCAGAUUUUCAUCAUUCCACUUCCACUGUUGAAAAAUCAUCAUGACUCCCACUUUGACAUGGAAAGUCGUAUCAAGAGGCAUAGAGAAAUGAAUGUGCCACAAAAGGGCAAAAGAUAGCAGCCAGCCACAAAUAAGGUACCAACGCUUCCUGAGUGUGCGACACAGAGAGAGACUGGAAUGGUCACAAUACACUAGCAUGCUACAGGCGAGCUAAUGCUAAAUGCAACAUCCGAAUAAUGGCAGAGACAGAAGCAUUGUGGGGCCAUGGAGGAAAUUCAAAUGUUAAAAUUUCAAACAAACGGGAGGCUGACUUUACUGCACACAACUGAAAUGUACCUGAAGGGACGCAAGAGUCGUGCCACUUUGAAAAACUAACAGACACACAUGGUAGUUAUACAAAAAUGCAUUAAAAAAAUAAAGAACUACAGCGAAAAAAUUCAAUUAAAUUGGAGUGAAGGGGGCCGAGAUGCAUGGAUGAGGAGUCCAAACAGACCUCCUGGAAUAAAAAGGAGAGGCAGUAGAAAGGUGGGGGUUGUGGAGGCAAAGACGCGGGGACGGGCUGCAUGGGGAGGGCAUGGUGGAGGAGCUCAGUAGGGGAGCUACCCGGGGAAUCCCUUCAGUGGGACAACAACACUGAGGAGCCAGCAAAGUGUGGGACGGCAUUCCUGCAUGAAUGUAAAGCCUGCAAUCCGAGCUCCCGGAGACGAGGAUGGGCAGGCACCGCAACAAAUGCCGGCCGAGCUCCAGCAGACAGCCCUCACACCCACAGGGGAACCCAACCCACACAAGAAAAUGACCCGCCGUUGAUAAUUGCUCUUUGAAAUUGAAAUAAAGCUAUUCAAUAAUGAAUGAAUAAGAAUGCGAGACACAUGUACCAACUUCUUUGGAGGCCUUGAGGUCAUUACACCCCAUUGAAGUUGCGCACGCGCAGACACACACGCACGUAGUCUACUGAAGUUCUGGACAUCAAGUGCAAUGAGGAAACAAGAGCCAAAAUGACUUCCUGUUUUGCUUCAAAGAGCUGCCCCGACCCCCCACCCCUCCUGAGUGUGACCGGUGCACUUUGAGCCACGGCCCGCUGGCGUGGCUACAGCGGCCUCUCACGCCAGCCCGGUCGGGCAACACACACACACACACACACACACACACACACACACACACACACACACACACACACACACACACACACACACACACACACACACACACACACACACACACACACACACACACGGGAUGAGCAGGGUGCUGGUUGUGGCGAGGGGGGGGGCGGAGGAGAUGGUGGUGGUGGUGAGGACAUGUGCCAGGCAUGUGUGUGCAUGUCAGGACUUGGAAUAAAAGUUUUAAAAAGUGCAGAGCGAGGUACAAGACGGCCUCGGGCCUCAGGCUGCUGCUGCUGAAGUGUGCUGGAAGCUCUGAAAAGGCUGUCACACCAACCCAGGCCGUCUGCUUCCUGUCCACACAGAGGUUUGGGCUUGGCUCUUUGGAUAAUUCUUUGCUCCUCUACGCAUCGGGAUCCCUCAGAAGAACCAACGAUUGCUGAAGUGAUCUGCUCAACAUUUAACUGGGCUAAGCCGGACUAUUUUUGGUAAAUGUCAGUGCCUCCAACACACAGGAGUUUCGUCUCGCGACAUUUGAAGUAUAGCCGAGGAACACACCUUCAUCCAUAAGGCCGGUAAAAAAUAAAUGCAAAUGAGACACUACUGAAGAGUGACGUUGAUUCAAUUAGUUAUUGUCAGUGUCAGCUGAAGCCAAACCAAAUCUCUUAUGUUGAGCUCUGUUCCAACUUUCAGUCUAAAACACAUCCAUGGAUCAGGCUUGUUUCAGGGCUAGUGGAACACUGAGGACAUCCAGACUAGACAGCCCAAGAUUUGUUCACGUCAAAAAUUAUAUGAAAUUGACACAUUGAUACCAGCUCCUUUGAUACUAAAACAAUAGCAAAUACGCUGAAAAACCAAAAACAAAAAUUCAUAACAAUUUGUAUCCCUGUUUAAUGUAUGAACUUUAUGAUGAAAGAUAGAUAGAGACUUUAUUGUCAUUGGACAUGUCACAAGUACAGAGCAACGAAAUUAACAGUUACAAGACUUUGAUUAGAAGGUAUAACACUGCCACUUGACUAUGAAGAAGACACAGAAAAGUGGUGAGACACGCGUUCGGUCUGAAAGACAACGAAGGAAGAGAAAAUUAAGUUCUACCCAGAGCAAAGCCCCCGCGCCCAUCCCCCUUCAGCAAACCCUCCUCCACAACAAAAACACAAACACACACGCACACACACAAACACACACGACACAACACGCACACAGCUCAGAUGGCUGGCGUGCAUCUGCCCGUUUUUCUCACCCAAACUGCAGUGUGCAGAAAAACCCCAGGAAAAUAAAUGAAGGUGCAGACAAAGAGAUGGCAGAUUCCACGAUGGGGGGGAGGGAGUGGUGGCAGGGGGUUUGUGGGGGUGCGCCUUUUGCAUCUACCAAUACCAUUCAUCAUCAAUAUAGACAAAGAGUAGAAAGAAGCAGGACAGAACCCGUGUGGACCUACAAUACAUCCACUCCCUAUCCACCACACACACUCAGAUACCCUCACACACGCACUGCAAGUCCAUUACGAUAUCCCUUCUAAACAUCAUCGUUCUGACAAUAAUCUUGAUUUGUCUGGGCUCCAUAUAGGUACGCGAGGAGCAGAGUGAAACCCUAUUGUUUCCCCCUACCAUCUGUGUUCUGCUAUCGGAGGCGGUGGUCACACCAAGGCUAAUAUUAUGGAAAUGAGUUCAUUAAUCACUGGCAAAAAAUGGCUUUUAUCUGGCAAGCCAGAGCACCCAUCUCUGCUUAGACUCUGUGCUGCU
ensembl:lncRNA